UACGGAGGGUGCAAGCGUUAUCCGGAAUCAUUGGGUUUAAAGGGUCCGCAGGCGGACGUAUAAGUCAGUGGUGAAAUCUCUCGGCUUAACCGAGAAACUGCCAUUGAUACUGUACGUCUUGAAUUCGGUCGAAGUGGGCGGAAUGUGUCAUGUAGCGGUGAAAUGCAUAGAUAUGACACAGAACACCGAUAGCGAAGGCAGCUCACUAGGCCUGGAUUGACGCUCAGGGACGAAAGCGUGGGGAGCGAACAGG
rnacentral:rRNA from 1 species